rnacentral:snRNA from 1 species
UGAUGUGAAGACCAUCUGACUGCCACAUCUGUCACUCCACUGAUUGCAGACAUCCCCCUCCUUCACCAAGCCAUGAGCGACCCUCAGAAAGCCCCUGCUCUGUGGCAGAGGAGAACCAUUCCCAAUAGAGGAGGGCCUGCCUCUGAUAAGGGUCUAGGAGUAGCUGCCUUCCCCUCAUGGAACCUCCAAACAGCUCUCAAUUUAUAUGUAAUUAACUUUAUGUGUGUGUUCUUCACAUAUGAAGGUCAUAAUUUGCAUUUCUUUUUGU